rnacentral:rRNA from 1 species
GACAGAGGGUGCAAGCGUUGUUCGGAAUUACUGGGCGUAAAGCGCGUGUAGGCGGCUAUGCAAGUCGGAUGUGAAAGCCCUCGGCUCAACCGGGGAAGUGCACCCGAAACUGCAAAGCUAGAGUCUCGGAGAGGAUCGUGGAAUUCUCGGUGUAGAGGUGAAAUUCGUAGAUAUCGAGAGGAACACCGGUGGCGAAGGCGCCGAUCUGGACGGUGACUGACGCUGAGGCGCGAAAGCGUGGGGAGCAAACAGG